GUCCGAUGGGUAGGACUGGAGUUUACACCUGUCAUCACCCGUCUGCAGCUACAAAGGAAGCAACCUGAGACCAGCAUUAGUGACGGAAGCCUCUUUACCAAUGACAACUCUAGACCUGCUUCAAUCUUCACAGCUCUGAGAUAAAGUAUUCAAGAUGCCCAAUCGCCAGAUUGCCUCUACGUGACUCUGCAUCCCCAAUCCCUUCUUAGAAGCACUCACUAGAAGCCCAGAUCCCCUGAGAAGCACCACCCUUCCCUCUCACUGAGACGCUCCUGCGUGGCCGUGGGUGUGAUCUUUGCUGCAACGAGCGAAAUAAACCGACUUUGAGCGCAGGUGGGAAAAACAAAACACAUGCAAAAAAUAAGUCAUUUGUCUCAAGUCAUUCAGCCGGAACGUGUCAAAGCCGGCAGUUGAAGCCAGCAAGCCGUGUCCGCAGCGUCCAGGCUCCAACCCACCAGCUGCGUGGAGGGCUGGGCUCUCAGACACAGGUGGCACCAGGCCAGGCAGGUGACACAAACGGUGAGGAGGCAUCCAGGAGUGGCAUGCUAGGGUGAACUGGACAAGAGCCUGGAGUGUUUCUCCUUAGAAGAAGCCAAAUGCGGGGUGUUCAACUUUCCCUA